GUGCUCCCUUCAGCAGCACAGAUGCCACAACAGAAAUAACACAGAGAAGAUAAGCCCGGCCCCUGCACAAGGCUGACACAAAUUCGUCCAGUGUUCUAUAAUAUUUUG
ensembl:snRNA U6 U6 spliceosomal RNA